GAAGUGAGGAGGACUGCGGGGUUCCCGUGCUGUGCCUCGGGUGUCUUCUGCAGAAAUCCCACCUGUGUCUGGGUAUCGAGUCACUCGGGGCUCAGUGGAAAGGCAGCUGUGUGGUUUUUUCUGCGCAGACCUAGGCAGUAGCGAGGACCCUUCGCUUUCGCUCGCCUGUGUCCUGCAGAAAAAGGCUUCCAUGGGCUGUCGUGCUGUUUACACCGAGCCUGGAUUUUUAGCGCAAAAGCCGAAGGUGCUAAGUGAACCAGGAGAAGCCCUUCCUCACACACCCCAGCCAGGAUGUGCUGGUCCAUUGGGCUGGCCCUGCGCAUGGACACCUCAACCCAGCCUCCAUCUCCCCAGCUAACCCGGCUCACAUGUACCUGUCCUCUCUCCCCCUCUUCCUUUUCCCCUCUUUCCCCUCUCCCCCUAGUCCUGUUUGCCACACUGCUUUCUGUCUGGGAACACCACCUCAAACACAGGCAAAGCUGGGACAAGACUGUUGUUUAAAAGCAGCGCUCUGAAGGAUGUUUGUGUUGCCAAAACCUUUCCUGCCGUCUGUAAAAUCUGAGAGGACAAGCUGAUACCAUGGGCAGAGGAAAAGUAGGACCUAGAGAUAACCCAAGGAGGCUUGAGACUUUUUGUUGGCCACAGGGCCCGUAAAUUAUCUUGGCAGCCCCAUUUUAGUAUUCGAGGAGCACGAGACUCCCGUCUAUCACAGGAUCUAGAGGCGAGGCAGUAACAAAGGAACUGCUGUGCAGAAGGGGAGCAAGGGGAACCUCGCUGAACUCUUACCCAGCAGGCUUUAUGAGAUGUAAUAUUGCUUUAAUGUGCCAUUAGAUCUACAUUUAGAAAAAGGGUCGUAACAUGGAUUGGGCUGCACUGCUAAACAAUUCUGUCAGAUAAUUGUUCACAACCCAGACUCCUGCUGAGGGUCUCAGAAAUUUCCGUAUCACACUGAUACUGUGCUAUGACUGAAUCCAAAGUACGUGCACAAAGCAAAGGGGAUAAAGGAAGAUGUGACAGAGCCAGGAGUGACGAUCCAGACAGUUAUAGCAUGGAUGAGUAAAAUGCUUGAAAUAAGCAGGAGUGGUUUAGUAGAUCAGAAAAUAUUUCCAUAUCCAGGAGUAUCACUUUGGAUUGUGUAAAGAGCCCUGUGCCCUCCCAGAAAAGACACGUUCCUAAAUUCAAUCAAGUUUGGACCAUGCCUUAAAAAAAACAGAAAUAUUAAUUAUUUUUUCAAACUGUUUUGAGGCAGGGGAGAGAAUCGUAUCAUUCCAGAAUGGUUUGGAAGGAAUCUUAACAAUCUUGACUAGAUGAUCUUAACGAUCAUCUGCCAUGGGGAGGGACGCCUUCCACUAGACCAGGUUACUCAGAGUCCCAUCCAGCCUGGCCUUGAACACCUCCAGGUAUGGGGAGCCCAUAGCCCCUCUCUGCAACCUGCUCCAGUGAAUCACCACCUUUAUAAUAGAGAAUUUCUUUCAAAUGCCCAAUCUAAGUCUUCAGCUUAAGGCCAUUCUCCCUUGUCCUACCACUACAUGCCCUUGUGAAACAAACAUGGGUGAAAACCACCUGUGGUGUGAAGUGUGGAUGGAGAGUAGAGUCUCAAGUAAUAUUUAACACAGCUGGAUUUCUUUCUCUGUUUUACAGUUAAGAUUUUUUAUUCAGGUUUAUGAAAGAUAUGACUGCUUCCAGUAAUCACUUGGCCAGAAGUCCUAGGAGCAUCCUGGAACCCCACCCACCCUGCCAGACAAUGGAUCAGCACAGGACACAGAAAUUAUGCUUACCAUAAAGAAAUGGUGAUCUAAAGAAGGUCAAUUGCAUGCUCUAACAAGUCCACUGGCAAUAGAAAGUGAAGACAGGCGGAAUGGAGCUUGAUGUCUCUCACUGGAGUUACCAGUCCUUCUAGAUGAAAUUACAGUUUUGCAGUGGCAUGGAACUGAGUCCAUGGAAAAAGCUGAGAGACAUUUUCAAGUUUUUAAACUGGCUGAAAAAAGAGAGUAGGUUUUUGGCUUAAAGCUGUCAUCUGACUUCUGCCAAAGAGGAGUGUUCGGAAAGCAUGCACCACCAUAUUUCAGCACACUGCUUGAUAUGGCAUUACUGGAUAGCUAAGGGUAGCCUUCGAAGAUAUGAAUUUCCUGUCUCUUGGGUUUUUGGUUCAUUGACAUAGCAAGAAGAAAAAUAUUUUGACACUUCCGACUUGCCAUGUCCAUGAGUUAUGAUGGAAAGCCUGUUUCUCUGCAGACUGAAAAUCAUCCAUGCGGAACUGACAGAAGAUGUGCUGAGGAAUAAAGAAACUGCAGCUCCAAGUGGUUUGCUUUAAACUACGUACCUGGUAGUGCUUUUCCUCUCUUCUGGAGAGAAUUUCAGUGGAAGUGUCCUGUUGUGUCCUUUACAGCCCAGGGAUGGCAGCAACAAUGAGCACUGCAAGCCCUAAUGCUUGUGGAGGUAGAAGUCAGCGUUCACACACUGCGUGGGCUUGACUGUGCUCUCUUCCUUUGCUCUCACAUACAUGAAAGAAUCUUCUGAGUGGUUCGAUAAUCAGUCACCUGAUUGCAUUUGAGGAGGUAGGACAGUGCUGUGACACGGCUUCCCUGAGGAAAAAAGAGUCACCAUUCCACCUCCUAAUAUUACUGGCAAAGGACCACUCUGGAAAGGUAUCCUUAAUGGUAAUUCCAAGGUAUUUGCUGCUUAGGAGGUUAGAAAGUACAGGUGAUUACUUGGUAGUACUAAUGUAUGAAAACUUCCAAUGGAUGAAGGUUGUCAAGGUUCUGAUUUAUGUACUGAAUGAGCUAUCAUGGAGCAAAACCUAAACUAUUAAUUACUGUUCAAUAUAAUUUUUUUUCUACAAA